rnacentral:rRNA from 1 species
UAUGUGAUCGUCUCUCGCAUAUCAAUAAGCGGAGGAAAAGAAACUAACAAGGAUUCCCUUAGUAACGGCGAGUGAAGCGGGAAGAGCUCAAAUUUGUAAAUCUUCAAGGUUUUACCUUGACGAAUUGUAGUUUAAAGAAGUGUUUUCUGUUGAAGUUUUGGUAAAAGUUCUUUGGAAUAGGACAUCAUAAGAGGGUGAGAAUCCCGUAUUUGACCAUUAUUUUCAGCUGUGUGAUACACUUUCAAAGAGUCGGAUUGUUUGGGAAUGCAGUCCAAAAUGGGUGGUAAAUUUCACCUAAAGCUAAAUAUUGGCGAGAGACCGAUAGCGAACAAGUACCGUGAGGGAAAGAUGAAAAGAACUUUGAAAAGAGAGUUAAACAGUACGUGAAAUUGUCAAAAGGGAAGCGUUUGACACCAGUGUUGUUUUCUCGAAAAUCAAUUAAAAAGAGUUAGAUUUUGUUGUGUAUUGACCUUAACAGCUUGCAUUUCAAUUUUCUUGCUUUUUUUAAUGCACUUUUCGUUUAACAAGUCAACAUCAGUUUCUUUUGUUGUAAAAAGGUCAUUGGAAGGUGGCUUUCCUUUCGGAGAAAGUGUUUAUAGCCUUUGACUCCUGCAAUCGGAGAGACUGAGGUCUGCAGCGUAGAUCCUUCGGGGUUAGAUACAUUUGUGCUAAGUUAUAGCUUUUUAUAGACAACUUGUUGACUAUGAUUAGUCUUGUAGCUUACUCGCUUAUGCUAUUUUACCUACGCUUAGGAUGUUGAAGAUGUAGCACAUCAU